GAACCAGUCAGUCUUCCCCUGGUGCCCCUGGUAGCACCAGGGCUACUCCCUGCUUCUUCUGUAAGCUCUCUAGGAGGGAAAGGUGCUAAGACUGGCAAAGCUGCCGGACCUCAAGUUUCUUUUCAGCCUGACUUCCACCACCAGUUGCAGAGACAAAAGAAUGAAAGCAAAGUCUUACUCCACAUGAGCUGGUUCUUAUUCCAAGAGUUCUGCAGUUCAUACUUCUUAUAUCUCUGACCUGUCUCCAGCAGUUGCACAAACAUGUCUCCAAUUGCUGGAACAUCAGGAUAACAAUGCAAGCAAC
rnacentral:lncRNA from 1 species